AAAGAUUCAUCGCUGAUAGAUAGGCAUGCGUUCCAUUAGGCAGUUGGCGGGGUAACGGCCCACCAAACCGACGAUGGAUAGGGGUUCUGAGAGGAAGGUCCCCCACAUUGGUACUGAGACACGGACCAAACUCCUACGGGAGGCAGCAGUGAGGAAUAUUGGUCAAUGGCCGAGAGGCUGAACCAGCCAAGUCGCGUGAAGGAUGAAGGAUCUAUGGUUUGUAAACUUCUUUUAUAGGGGAAUAAAGUGUGGGACGUGUUCCAUUUUGUAUGUACCCUAUGAAUAAGCAUCGGCUAACUCCGUGCCAGCAGCCGCGGUAAUACGGAGGAUGCGAGCGUUAUCCGGAUUUAUUGGGUUUAAAGGGUGCGUAGGUGGUAAUUUAAGUCAGCGGUGAAAGUUUGUGGCUCAACGAUAAAAUUGCCGUUGAAACUGGGUUACUUGAGUGUGUUUGAGGUAGGCGG
rnacentral:rRNA from 1 species